GGGCCUCCUGGCCCAUCCAGGCCGUCCUGCCCGGUGCAGAAUUUUUCGGACUUGGGGAUUAAAAAAAGGCCCAUGGGUCAGGCUUAGGCAGGAAAAACAGCCCGACCAAAAAAUCGGGCCGGAUCUGGAAACUUUUAAAAAUAGCCCGGCCCGGCCUGACCUAUGUUUUAUAUGUAAAGUUAGAAAAAUACAUCCAGUUUUAGAAAGCCUAUUAAGCUGUUGGGCCAUUCUGGCCCAUUUCUAGAUUCCAAACAAAGAAAAAAUCAAGACUGCCGGGUCGGGCCUGUUGGAUCGAGCCUGGGACCAGAUUUAUAAAGUCGAAUCGGGCCUGGACAAAAAUUUAAGCCCGACAGUCGGGCCGGGCCGGGCCAGGGCAUAGCCAUCGGGCCUAAUUGCUGCUGUAGAGCCCGGCCCUUGCCCGGCCUGUUCCGGAUUUUGAUCAGCUCUAGUUCUAUGUAAAAAGAAAAAUCAUAUUUUUCUUAUAGGCAAUUAAAUGAGUCUUUAUGCAAAAUCUAUUUUAAAACUUUUUUUAUACCAUGACUUAAAACAACGUGGCCAUUAAAGUGGCAGGCUCAAUUACCUAUAAGAGAUGAUGAUGAUUACAGUA
rnacentral:lncRNA from 1 species